CAGGAGCAGAAUUACUUCCCUAGCCCUGUUCACCACAGCAUUCCUGACACAGGCUAGGAUGCCAUUCUUGGCCACCUGGGUACACUGCUGGCUCAUAUUUAGCUGACUGUCCAUCAGCACACUGAAUGAAUGAGAAUGCUGAUAAUACAUCGAUAUUUCAGUUAUUGCUGAGCAACUCUUACAGGGAAUUGAAGACUUUUAUGCUGCUGAAGACUUCUAAUGCUGCCUUUCCAGUAGGUAGGUACAAAAAGCUAGGAGGAGGCAGCAAAGCUAAAAUGGCCAAAGAGAAAGUCUGUAUGAUGUGAUAUCAGGCCAAGUAAUGAAAGCUGCGAUAAGAAAGAACAUUUGGAAUCUCACCUCCAUAUUUUUAUUAAUUAAUUAAUUCAUUUUAUGUUUCUGCACAGAUGUGUUCACUGUAGGUCUAUUCAAAAACCUGUAACAAAAUCCUUCAGUAGAAAAAAUAUUCAGCUGCUUGCCUAUUUCAAAGAGCAUGACAACCCAAAACUAGUCACUGCAUGAACCUGCUGAAUGUGGAACAUUUCCACCUGCCAUUGAGCUUCUGUCUGCUCAGAUGCACGGGCAGAUCAGUUAAACCUUGUCUUUUGCUGAUAAGGACUUCUCAAAUAGAAUUCAGUCUGAUUAAAACAGUUUGUGUAUUUGUUUCAUUAAUAUGCAUAAAAGCAUUGUCUUCCUCAGCUGUAUCUAGAUUAAAUAAUAAUAAUAAUUUUAAAAUCCUAUAAGGAUUAUGUCCUCUCUUCAGUGAUGUAGUAGGGUGUAUCAUAGACUUUUAUUGAAUUCAUCUUCAUCAAAAUGUACUAAACAUAGAGACAAGCAAUUUUAAAUUAAAUAAAAAACACCUUAGGUUAAAUAUACCGUUAGCGUAAUGCUCUACAUCCCUUACACUGCCGAAAUACUAACCAUGAAUAGAGACAGGGAUAGAAGACAUUAGAAGAAGCAAACAGUUAAUUUUAUUUUCAUUCUGCAUUCCUACAACCUUUUCAAAUUAUUCUCAUUUUGUUUUUCUCUUGGUCAUCAUACAGUGAUAUAUAAAACAUUAUGGUUGAGGUUGUUUGCUCCAGGAAGAAAAGACACCAACCACUGAAAAAAGAACAAAGCAAUUCAGCAUCAAUGUUUAGUGUUACUGGCUGUGUCAUUAAUGUUGCAAAGUAAUGUUGCAAAGUACAUUCUGUUGAACAUGCCCUAUUUUGUGAGACAUCAGAUAUUACCUUGGAUAUAAAAUCUAUCCCCUCCGGCGAUUUCUGACUGCUUUCAUUUUUAAUUGUGAUAGUCAGCUUUAUAGAGGUGUCGUGACAUUUAACAAAGCCAGUUAUAAAACCUGUUUGUUUGUUCUCUGUUGUGUGUGGCUGGAAAGAAAUGAGUGCGCUGACAGGCCUUAAUUGCUCUGAUCAGUCUUACCCAAAACACUCACACUUUGCUCAUGAGCACAAAUUGACAGAUAAAGUAAGACUCAAGAUACCAGCCUAGGUUACAAUUUAAGUAAGCUGGUAUCCAGACCUAUUGAGUGGAUUCAAAUAUUUUUAUUGGUUAUGUACCUAUAUGUACCUAUAUGUGAAAAAAUAUAUGUUUGUACAGAUAGCUAAUUAAAUUAGUACAUUAAGAUUUUUCAGCAACAUUUGCUAUCCAUCGGUUGUUUUUAUUUUGAAAUUCUUCCUUUCCCCACAAUGAAUAAGUCAGCAAUAAAAAUCCUUAAAGUGUAAGUUCUUAUGGCAAAUAAAUCUUUGAAGAUAUGUGAUGCAGACUUCAAAGCAAAAGAAAACCUCACAUUUUUGAAAUAGCCAAGUGUUUGCUAUGGAUUGAAAAUAACCAAAAUCUAUAGCAAAGUUAAUAUAAAAUUAAUUAAAUAAUCAAUUUCUAAUUGAAAUGAACAAGUCAUUAAUCAGUAUCAUUGAAAAAUCUAAUUAUUCUUUAUUUUCAAGAGUGAACAAUCUGGUAUUUUUUUGCACAUUUUUCCUUUCUUUCAAGCUUUUGUUUUCAAGACAAAAUAAGAGGUAUCUCUAAAUCAUCUUUGCAAGACAUCGACUAGGCUGUCUCAUGGAAACAAAAUUUCUGCAUUGUAAAGUUCAUAUCAUAGUAAUUCGUGAAGAAUUUGAAAAUUUGUGUUUCUGACUGAUGAAUCACAAGACUUGUGCUACAAACAUUGUGAGCUCUGGCUAAUGGUGUGGACAAAGAAGUGCCAGAGCCAUAUUGAAGAACAAAGGAGAUCUGAGUAGGAGCUUUCUGGCAGAACAGAAGAUGUCUUUUUCAGAGCAUGGGAUCAAUUUUUUGGCUCAUGUAACCCCAUUCUGGAUCUCAU